UACGGAGGGUGCAAGCGUUGCUCGAAAUUAUUGGGCGUAAAGGGUAGGUAGGUGGUCUUAUUUGUCUGGGGUGAAAGCCUUGAGCUUAACUCAAGAAGUGCCCCAGAAACGGUAAGACUAGAGUCCUGGAGAGGGUCGUGGAAUUCCCGGUGUAGCGGUGAAAUGCGUAGAGAUCGGGAGGAACACCAGAGGCGAAGGCGGCGACCUGGACAGGCACUGACACUCAACUACGAAAGCGUGGGGAGCAAACAGG
rnacentral:rRNA from 1 species